GGACAUAUCAAAUUAGUAUAAUUUUGAGGAAAGUCUGUAAGAUAAAUUUAUUUAACAUCAAAUCUGGUUUAGUGGAAAUCCCUCUAAUAAGGAGUGAGGUCAUGUCUCUUGCAAUGAAUCAUGUCCAUUAAAUUUAUCUUCUUUUCUGGAUGCUUUCCUUCCUUCAUUUAUUUGUCAUUUCCAAGUCUCUAAUUCUUGUUGAUUGCUCAAUUAAAUGAAAUCACUGAUUUUUUUUUUUUAAUUUUGAAGAGGGCAUGAAACUGAAGCCACAAAAUAUUAUCUAUAGCAACACAAGUCUGCUUUUAACUCCACAAUACUUUCUCCUACCCAAUUUUUUAAAAAGCAAAUGCCAACUUUAUUUUAUUCAAAACGCUCCCAAUAUUUGCAUUUGUAUAUCUCUUAUUUCAUACGCGUCUUCUCUCCUUUGCCAUCUUCCUACCCCUUUGAUACUGGGAACAAAAUAGGAAAGAUGGCUAUUCUUUAUUAUAAUAUUCCACUACCUGGAAAACUUCUUUAGGAUGAAAGAAAACCCUCCUCUCCACAUUGACUAAUUACUGAUUGAUCUUAGAUUUCUCUACUGCUCUCAUUUUCCUUUACUCCAAAAUUAUACACUACAAGAUCACAACUCUACUCAACUCCCACAUAUUUGCAAAGACAAUCUGAGGAGAUCUAUAAUCUCCUCAAGGGCUCUUUAAAAAGUCUCAUCUAUUCCAGGGCCUUGAGAUACGAUCCGAUAUAGGAUAUAUCAGGAUUUGAAGUCUAGAAUCAGAAUCAGAGUGAAUUUAACAAUGGAAGCAAACUUGGACAGCUCUCCAGUCCAGCGUCCUCCUUUUACACACGUGGAAACUAAGACCAGAGGGGCUGGACUGUCUAGGACGUUAUUUUACUUAAAAUUUCAUAAAGGAUAUUCAAACGAACAAUCAUAGAUCCUAAUUAAAGAAAUCUUGAAGACAAAAGGUAAGCCGUGUUUAUAACAGUUGGCCUUUUUCAAUUACUUUAAAAUAUUUCUCAUCUCAGAGGAAAC
rnacentral:lncRNA from 1 species